GUAUCAUUUUCUACAUCAGUAAUU
rnacentral:snRNA from 1 species